UGGUGGAGUGAUUUGUCUGGUUAAUUCCGAUAACGAACGAGACCUUAACCUGCUAAAUAGCUACGCAAACCUUGUGUUUGUGGCCAGCUUCUUAGAGGGACUAUCUGCGCGUAGCAGAUGGAAGUUUGAGGCAAUAACA
rnacentral:rRNA from 1 species